rnacentral:misc_RNA from 1 species
GUGAGUCAUCGAAUCUUUGAACGCAAAUUGCACUCGAGGCCCCGGCCAAGAGUAUGCCUGCCUCAGCGUCGGUUUACACCCUCUUCAUACACCUUGUGUGUGCGAAGGACCUGGCUGUCCCGAUUUUUGCAAAAUCAUCGGGUCCGCUGAAGAACAGAGGCCCGAGCGUGGACCCACUCCAUGGGCAACAGUCUGGUAGGCGAUGGAGCAAUCGAUCGCAUGCCGCUGUUGGCCAGGGGACCAUCGCUGGAAGCCGCAAGCAGGAAAACACACCAAAACAUUCGACCUGAGUUCAGGCAA